rnacentral:snoRNA from 13 species
AGCAAGCGCACUCUGUGUCACAUUGAUUGACCUCAUGUGAAUACAAUUUGUAAGUUUGCCAGAGUAAGGUGUAGCUUCUUAUCCAUGUGAUUGGACUCCAACUUGCUAAUCACUUUGACGAAGUCUACGACAGCUUAA